GACGAACGCUGGCGGCGUGCUUAACACAUGCAAGUCGAACGAAGUGGCGAACGGGUGAGUAACGCGUAAUCAACCUGCCCUUCAGCGGGGGACAACAGUUGGAAACGACUGCUACUACCGCAUACUGAAGGAGGGGAUUGCGUCUGAUUAGCUAGUUGGAGGGGUAACGGCCCACCAAGGCGAUGAUCAGUAGGCGGGCUGAGAGGAUGAACGGCCACAUUGGGACUGAGACAAGGCCCAGAAUUCUACGGGAGGCAGCAGGGGGGAAGCUUCGGAAAUGGACGAAAGUCGGACGGAGCAACGCCGCGUGAGUGAUUACGGCCUUCGGGUUGGAAAGCUCUGUUAAUCGGGACGCGGUACCGGAAGAGAAAGCCACGGCUAACUACGUGCCAGCAGCCGCGGUAAUAC
rnacentral:rRNA from 1 species